ensembl:lncRNA
GAAGUGAAACCCUUUUUAUUAUAAAAAUGGGAAGAAUGGCAUUUUAUUACAGUAUAGUUAAGAGAUUGGCUAAGGCAGUAAAUAAAACUUAGAAAUGCUCAAAUUUGUUGUAAAUUGCUUUUACAAUCAUUGAUAUAUAAAGCAUGCUACUACUAAUCAAUUAGUUUUAUGUAUUAAGACCUAUCAGCAUGUCUUUUUUUAGUAUCUGGUUGACUUUAACAUGAUGUUCUCUGUACCAUUUAACAUUUUCAAGACAUACUCUCCCCAAGCAAAUUCUGUUGGAACCAGGUGUUUCCAGUUCUAGAAGUUUACUUCUAGAGUCUUCAUAUGAAAUUUACAGUGGGCUUUCAUAGGGUUUUAAUUUGCACUGAACCUUUUUUUCUGAAAGAUUACUUAUGUUUAAAGUAUUAAUGUAGCAGUGCUUUUGUCUUACAAUUAAACUCUUACAGCACUCAUGCAUUUUUUGCACUGUCUUUUUUUUUUGACUUAAGUUUUUUUCUCUUGAAUGAAUACCUUUAACAGGACUUAUUAGUUGAAAAGGUAAGGCAACUACUGGAAUGUUAACACAUCACAUAAAAUUUUUAAAUGAUGGGAUUGUUUGAAAAGUUAGCUUAUGCACAAAUAGUAUUACAAGUGGAUCACUGAAUUUGAUGGAAGAAAAGUGGCCAUUUCCAGUUUUCUCCAGAAUGUUUAUAAGACAGGAUAUUGAGGGCAGGAAGAUUUUGUGGGGAUGUUCAAUCUUAGUAACCUGCUGGGCUUGCUAUCAAAUGUGAGACCACUACAAGUGCUGGUAGGCAUUUACCAUUUUAUGUUACAAUGUUUUUGAAAAAUGCUAAAUUGAAUUUGAUGGCUAAGAGCAAUAAUGUUAACAAAAUUACUCAUUAUAAAUGCACUAUUGUUUAACUGUUCCAAUUUUUACUUUUGUGUCUCGAGAACUUUUAAAGGAAUGCAGGUCACUUAGUGCUGGUCUAUGAAGAGAGAAGUCACCAUUAUGUUGGGUCAUGGUGUGGUGCUAAGCAGGUCUGCUCCUCAACAAAUGGCCUCUUUGUCUGUAACCAGCUUGUGAUUUGCCUUUUUGUUCUAAAAAAUCAGAGGCCGGCCGGGCGCGAUGGCUCACGCCCAUAAUCCCAGCACUUAGGGAGGCUGAGGUGGGUGGAUCACCUGAGGUCAGUAGUUAUAGACCAGCCUGGCCAAUAUGGUGAAACCCCAUCUCAACUAAAAAAAAAGGUUAGCCAGGUGUGGUGGCAGGCACCUGUAAUUCCAGCUACUCGGGCCGAGGCAGGAGAAUCACUUGAACCCGGGAGGCGGAGAUUGCAGUGAGCCGAGAUCGCGCCAUCACACUCAGCCUGGGGGACAAGAGCGAGACUUCGUUUUAAAACAAAAACAAAAGCAGAAGCCAGAAUUAAAUAAUGGUUUUUGUUAUUUUAGGUUCUGCCAUGAUUCUAUAAUAAGAUUCUCUGAGAGGCCUUGAUCCUAUAGUAGGAUAAUAUAAACUUUCAAAACAAUUUAAAAUAAUCCUUUUCAGACUUACUAAAAUGUGUGGGGCAUUCUAUUUAGCAGAUUUUCCAAAGUUUCUAGUUUAAUACAUUCAGUGGAAUAGAUUAUUUGAAAUGAAUGCUUUUGUGGCCCAGCUCUGUCAUUUGCCCAGUGAUAGUGGGUAAAUUAACUGUCUCUAAGCCUCAGUUUUUCCAAGUGUAAAGUUGUAUUACCUUUCUCAGGUAUGGACAUUAAAUGAUAGUCAUGUAAAAGUGCUUGCAGUUAGCGGUUCUCGGCCUCAUUGUGAGGUUAAACACACACUUUGAGGGCCCAUCUCAGGCUUAUACAGAAUCUUCAGGGGGUGGAGCCGAGGAACAUGUAUUAUUAAGAUCAUUAGGUGACUCUUAUGCUGAGGAUUGAAAACCAAAGUUUCACACUUGUUGAUAUUACCAUGUUUAAGAGCUGUGGAAAUCAUGCAUAUAAAAAUACCAAAUGUUAGUACUUACAUGUGCUGGGCAGACUGAAUACAAAGAGGAGUGUGAUGUGGCCAGGCUUGUGGGGAGUAGAGACAGCCAUCAACCAUGAUAGGAGUGCCCUUUCUCGAAGUUUGCCUUGGCACCCUGAGGGGACUCCCUACUUUUGCUUCUGCAGCUCUUCUGGACUUCCCUGACUUCAGGAGAUUUGACAUAGAAGCCCUGUGAUUUUGGUGACUAAUUAGGAAAGAGAAGAUGAGCAGAAGGGAGGAGUCAAGGUAGGCUAACAUAGUUUGUAGAUUACAGGAUAGCUGUGAUCCCAUUUAUUGAGAUUGGAAAUCAAGUCAAAUAAGCAG